rnacentral:tmRNA from 1 species
GGGGGCGAUCGGCUUCGACGGGGGUCACGAAAUCGCCUGGUGCAUGCCGAGGGGGCAGCUUUCCUCGUUAAUCCAGCAGCAAACUUUUAGUUGCCAACGACGACAACUACGCUCUAGCCGCUUAAGGCUGAGUCCCGAACCCACUUGUGCUUGUGCUCGUGGAUGUAGGGUCACUAUCACAAGAUCGCUGCUGAUCGCCGCCAGUCGAUCAUCGGCUAACUCGCAACGGGCUGGUCCGGCGGUGCGCCUUGCACGUUGUGUUGCCGCAGGAUGAGAUCAAACAGCGCGCUAAGCAUGUAGAUCCGGGGACGUAGGACUUUCGGACGCGGGUUCGAUUCCCGCCGCCUCCACCA